rnacentral:rRNA from 1 species
GACAGAGGGUGCAAACGUUGUUCGGAAUUACUGGGCGUAAAGCGCGUGUAGGCGGCUAAGUAAGUCGGGCGUGAAAUCCCACGGCUCAACCGUGGAAGUGCACUCGAAACUGCGUAGCUAGAGUCCUGGAGAGGAAGGUGGAAUGCUUGGUGUAGAGGUGAAAUUCGUAGAUAUCAAGCGGAACACCGGUGGCGAAGGCGGCCGUCUGGACAGGGACUGACGCUGAGACGCGAAAGCGUGGGGAGCAAACAGG